rnacentral:rRNA from 1 species
AGAGUUUGAUCCUGGCUCAGGAUGAACGCUGGCGGCAUGCCUAAUACAUGCAAGUCGAACGAGGAUCCUUGUGGAUCCUAGUGGCGAACGGGUGAGUAACACGUAGGGAACCUGCCCGCGCACCGGGAAUACGCUCUGGAAACGGAGAACAAAUCCCGAUGUACAGGAAGGAGGCAUCUUCUUUCUGUGAAACAUCCUGUAAGGGAUGGGGCGCGGAUGGACCUGCGGUGCAUUAGUUGGUUGGCGAGGGUAAAGGCCCACCAAGACGAUGAUGCAUAGCCGGCCUGAGAGGGCGGACGGCCACAUUGGGACUGAGACACGGCCCAGACUCCUGCGGGAGGCAGCAGUAGGGAAUUUUCGUCAAUGGGCGCAAGCCUGAACGAGCGAUGCCGCGUGAGUGAAGAAGGCCUUCGGGUCGUAAAGCUCUGUUGCGGGGGAAAAAAGGCAACUACAGGAAAUGGUAGAUGACAGAUGGUGCCCCGCCAGAAAGUCACGGCUAACUACGUGCCAGCAGCCGCGGUAAUACGUAGGUGGCGAGCGUUAUCCGGAAUGAUUGGGCGUAAAGGGUGCGC